rnacentral:lncRNA from 1 species
ACGUCCACUUGUAUUUUUGUCCAUCUGAUGAGUUAAGCCUUUUUCAACUGAUUUUUAUAGUUCGUUCUUAUGUUGUACUGUUAUACCACUGUUCCAGGUUAGGGGGAGGGUUGGGAUCCCGCUAGCAUGUUUAACACCGCCACAUUAUUUAUGUAUAUGCCUGUCCCAAGUCAGGAGCCUGUAAGUCAGUGGUUGUCGUUUGUUUAUGUGUUACAUAUUUGUUUUUCGUUCAUUUUUUUACAUAAAUAAGGCCGUUAGUUUUCUCGUUUGAAUUGUUUUACAUUGUCUUAUCGGGGCCUUUUAUAGCUGACUAUGCUGUAUGGGCUUUGCUCAUUGUUGAAGGCCGUACGGUGACCUAUAGUUGUUAAUGUCUGUGUCAUUUUGGUCUUUUGUGGAUAGUUGUCUCAUUGGCAAUCAUACCACAUCUUCUUUUUUAUAUAAUAUUU